rnacentral:rRNA from 1 species
CCUACGGGCGGCAGCAGUAGGGAAUCUUUCACAAUGGGCGUAAGCCUGAAGGAGCAACGCCGCGUGCAGGAUGAAGGCCUUCUGGUUGGAAACUGCUUUUAUAAACGGGAAAUAUGGUGGUAACUUAUGAAUAAUGAUCGUCUAACUACAUGCCAGCAGCCGCGGUCAUACGUAGGAAGCCACCAUUAUCCGGAGGGACUGAGUGUAAAGAGUUGCGUAGGGGGCAUAAUAAGUAGCUAGUGAAAUCUGGUGGCUCAACCAUUCAGACUAUUAGCUAAACUGUUAAGCUCGAGACAGUUAGGGGUAACUGGAAUUUCUAGUGUAGGAGUGAAAUCCGUAGAUAUUAGAAGGAACACCAAUAGCGUAGGCAGGUUACUGGGACGGUUCUGACACUAAGGCACGAAAGCGUAGGGAGCAAACGGGAUUAGAUACCCCUGUAGUC